rnacentral:tRNA from 34 species
GGGGGAUUAGCUCAGCUGGCUAGAGCGCCUGCCUUGCACGCAGGAGGUCAUCGGUUCGACUCCGAUAUUCUCCAC